rnacentral:lncRNA from 1 species
AGGGGCUGUGCUGAACCAUUCUGCAGCUUUCUGGAAGCUCCUGAGGGCCUGGAAAUUAGCAGACUACAUCUGGGAAGAUGGGAAGAGGAUUCUGCAGAAUAAAAUACCCAUAGGAUUUUGCUUCCUCAACCUGGGGACCCUGCAACUGAAUUGAAGCCACCUCGCACCACCUGCAGCCGUUCUUCCAUGCUGUGGCCCAAACUCUUGCUUUCUGGGAAGCAGAACUUGGAUUUGAAGGGUGGCAGAGAGACACGAGAGACCUGGAGAGAAGGGCCACCCGGGGCGCAGGUGCAUUUGGUCAGCAGAAAGGCAGGACCGGAGAUCUGCACGGGACACGGGAGAGAGGCUGAACUGUAGGAAAGAGUAGCUAACCAUGUCAGGAGCACGUUUCUCAAAUUGGCCACGACGAACCCCCGGAGUGAUCAUGAUGGAGAAAAGACCACAAUUAGAAGACAGUGAGAGGAGCUUCAAAGGACUCCAUUGGCUUCCUCUAGCUCUGUAAAAAGUCCAAGAGAUAGGUUUCCCGAGCCAUCUGGAGCUCCUUUUCGGCAGGGUUGAGUCUAGUCUAUACUCCGCAGGAGGAAGUCGCUUGCGUAGUUGGAGACGUCUCCUGUGCAUUGGAGCCAGUGGCUUGAUGUCAACCUUGCUGGAGAACAAACCUAGUUUUACACCAACCUGUUGAAAAGAAGUCUUCCCACUGCUUAGGCAGACUUUGACAGGGAUGGACGCCUAGAGCUCAAAUAACUGUAGGGCCCUGAAGACAUGUUCUCAGCGAAUUUCUAAGAAGAAAUAUGAACAGAAGAGAAUAUAGAUGAAGAGGUUUUGAAACUUAUUCCCACAUGAUAUAGGAAAAAGAAAAGACAAUGCUAA